GUGUGUGUAGUGAGGGGGGUGGAAGGGUGAAUACCAGAAAUAAACAUUGCAGCCAACAAUGAGAAUAGAAAUCUCUAAAAAUGAGCAAAAUAUUAACCCAGAACCUUGUUAGGAAAUUAAGGACAAGACAAGUAGAUAUGCGAAGCGUCAAAAUUGUUGGCAGGAGACUCUGCACACGCGGUGCUUGUAAACAUUCAGACACGAGAUUUUUCCCAAUCAAAAUCCACUUCCACUUUUUUGAAAAUCUUCCAAAAAAUAGUAAAAAAAAAAAAAAGAGCGAGGGAGAAGGAAAGAAAAAAAAAAAAAAGAAGGGAUUUCCUCUGCCAGCUGCGAUCGAGGACAAAGUUUUGAAAGAAGAGUUUUGGAUAAGAUUUCUUUUUUUUAAGAAAAAAAAAGGAGCUGUUGCAGCCACAGAUCAGACUCCCUCCUUAGAACAGAGUCUCCCUGGGCUUCAAGGAGCAGCUAAUACGGCAGGACAGAAUCAGCACACACAGACCUUCCGCAUGCAGUGCUUUUAACAAGCCACGAAGCUCUGAUCUUUUUGCUAGACCCUAGAACCUAAAUGUUACUUCUUUUAAAAACUUCACUCAGAAAAGAAGAGUUUCAUUGAAAAGAACAAUGUUGCCUUUUAUUUUUUUCCUAUUUCCACGGUCUGUAUCCAUUCAGGGACAGUCAAAAAGGGAUCACUUCUGAAUGAUAUGUGUGUCCAGUCUCACCCUCGUCACCCAAGACAUAUUUUACUCGUAUCAAGAAUCUCUCUGCCUCGUUCUCUUUUUCUCAAGAGGAAAAAAAAGUAUUUUUUUCCCCUCCUCGCUCAGAAAUCAAAGAUUAAAAGAAAGUGUUAAAUAUCUGAUCCUCGACAGUUUCUUUUUUUUUUUUUCUCCCCUUCAUCUUUUACAAUGAACGCCUGUGAAGCUACAUCCGUGUGCAGGACUUUGUCUUGGGGGCACAGACAGCUUUGAAGAAGCUUAUUAAGGAAUGUGCAGAAAAUCUGUUGGAAAUAAGACACUGCCGGAAUCCUACACAGAGCUGGCUGCUGGCAGAAAUCCCCGUCUAUUAGAACCGGCGCACUUUUAACAGCAGCACCCCCUACGAUCUUGAAGUUUAUUAUGAAACAAUGAACUUCCCGUCAUAAUCUACCAACAUUCUCAGCCAGGUUAAAGAAAAAUCCUUCAGAUCAGAUAAGCAAGAAUCAAAUUAGCGGAAUAGCAGAUCUGAAAGAUGGAAGAAGUGACUUCACAACCGCAUAUGGAGAACCCUGUUUGAUAAAAACGGACUUUUGCAUCUAUUCUCUAAGGUGUCAGAGAUUAUGGAAACAGCAGGCUUUACCUUGGCUUCCUUCUUCCACUAUGAAGUCCAAAAGCAAGUUGUUUUGGAUAUUUAACGUGUUAUCUUUUUGGCAUCUCUUGCAUGUGAGCUCCUACCUUUAUUUUGCACGGCUUGUGUUGAUAUACAAAAUGUUUUACUGGGUCACU